GCGAAAACUUUACAAUGCUGGCAACAGCGAUAAGGGAACCUCGAGUGCCAGGUUACAAAUCUGGCUGUCGAGAUGCCUAAAAAGCAUUUCAUAGCAAGGGCCGGGCAAGACCGGUGCCAGCCGCCGCGGUAACACCGGCGGCUCGAGUGGUAACCGUUAUUAUUGGGUCAAAAGGGUCUGUAGCCGGCCGGAUAAGUCUCUUGAGAAAUCUGGCAGCUUAACUGUCAGGCUUUCAGGAGAUACUGUCUGGCUCGAGGCCGGGAGAGGUGAGAGGUACUUCAGGGGUAGGGGUGAAAUCUUGUAAUCCUUGAAGGACCACCAGUGGCGAAUGCGUCUCACCAGAACGGACCUGACGGCAAGGGACGAAAGCUAGGGGCACGAACCG
rnacentral:rRNA from 1 species